rnacentral:rRNA from 1 species
GAUGAACGCUGGCGGCGUGCCUAAUACAUGCAAGUCGAGCGAACAGACGAGGAGCUUGCUCCUCUGAUGUUAGUGGCGGACGGGUGAGUAACACGUGGAUAACCUACCUAUAAGACUGGGAUAACUUCGGGAAACCGGAGCUAAUACCGGAUAACAUGUUGAACCGCAUGGUUCAACAGUGAAAGACGGUCUUGCUGUCACUUAUAGAUGGAUCCGCGCCGCAUUAGCUAGUUGGUAAGGUAACGGCUUACCAAGGCAACGAUGCGUAGCCGACCUGAGAGGGUGAUCGGCCACACUGGAACUGAGACACGGUCCAGACUCCUACGGGAGGCAGCAGUAGGGAAUCUUCCGCAAUGGGCGAAAGCCUGACGGAGCAACGCCGCGUGAGUGAAGAAGGUCUUCGGAUCGUAAAACUCUGUUAUUAGGGAAGAACAAAUGUGUAAGUAACUAUGCACGUCUUGACGGUACCUAAUCAGAAAGCCACGGCUAACUACGUG